rnacentral:rRNA from 1 species
CCAAUAGCGUAUAUUAAAGUUGUUGCAGUUAAAAAGCUCGUAGUUGAAUUUCGGGGUCAGUAGGUUGGUCAUGCCACUGGUAUGUACUGAUCUUACUGAUUCCUCCUUCCUGAUGAACCGUAAUGCCAUUAAUUUGGUGUUGCGGGGAGACUGGACUGUUACUUUGAAAAAAUUAGAGUGUUUAAAGCAGGCUAACGCUUGAAUACAUUAGCAUGGAAUAAUGAAAUAGGACGUUCGAUCCUAUUUUGUUGGUUUCUAGGAUUGACGUAAUGAUUAAUAGGGAUAGUUGGGGGCAUUAGUAUUCAAUUGUCAGAGGUGAAAUUCUUGGAUUUAUUGAAGACUAACUACUGCGAAAGCAUUUGCCAAGGAUGUUUUCAUUAAUCAAGAACGAAAGUUAGGGGAUCGAAGACGAUCAGAUACCGUCGUAGUCUUAACCAUAAACUAUGCCGACUAGGGAUCGGAUGAUGUUAAUUUUUUAAUGACUCAUUCGGCGCCUUACG